rnacentral:lncRNA from 1 species
AGAGAAGGAUCCAUGUCCAGCAUGAGUCAAUAUUUGGGAAGGAAGCAGAAAAAUGUUGGGAAGAAAAUUACAUGUGAUGGCUGGCAGCUUUCAGAGGCAUUGCUUGAGUACCAGGAAGGGAUGCCAUAAAGAAGAAGGGCUGACAAAGGUCCUCAACCCCAAGAAAUGGCAUCAGGAAAGAAAUAUCAGGACCAAGAUACUGGGUAUCCCAAACUGAGCGAGGCAGUAUGAGUGCAAUUUCGCUACUUACCCAUAUGGGGCAAAGGCUGCAAAAAUUCAACUUGUCAUCAAGGCAGAAGAAAUGUCUAUUGAACAAAAAGACUCACAAGACAGAGGUUUCUAUCAUCAGAUCUGUGCUUGAUGUUACGAGGAACCCACCAGAUAAGCGACCUGUUUUCCCUGUGCCUCAGAGGAAGUCCUUUGGAGAUGGCUUUCCUUGGGUAGCUGGCUUUGCACUGGCCAUGAUACAGCUAUGUUUCAGCAGUGGGUCAUGUGAACAUAUCAGAGAAAUGCUGUGGAUAAAUGGCAAGGAAAUAAGUGUAAUUUUUCUACAUAAGCCUCCUCUUACUUGGGAUGUAGAUGCUGCUUCCAUCAGCUGUCAUGACUACCUCAGAUUUGAAUGACUCUACCACUGAAUUCCUGCAGAGCCUCAACCGCACAACACGCACCUCUGAGAGUACAAUCCCUGAGCUCUGUAAGUGUAUACCAUGUAGUCAUGUAGCCACACAAUGAAGCUCUUGUUUUGGAGGACAUGAACACAGGGGUAACUAGGGAAAGUAGAAACCCAUCCUUCAGCAGCAUUGAUCUAAAUACAGGCAGCUUAGCUGUAUUAGGAACAGGAAAAGUGUCUGUCUAUAAAGAGAUUAAAGAUGAUUUUUGUGGUACAGAGUUCUUGAUACAGAAGGCUGAAGCCUCACUCAGUCAUGGCAGAAGAAGACUGGGCUGCUGCUAAGCCACUUAGUAUCGUCAGCUUUUUCAUUAGCAUCAAAGAGGUAAAAGGCUUAUCGCUUUCCCAGACUGUUGCACAGACUGGUUUGCUGGAACAUCUUAAUAGAUAUUUCCUAAUAUCCUUUCUUUCUUCUAAUGUUCUCUAAUUUGAUAAAAACAUAUUUCUUUGCCUAGCAGUCGGUUGUAGGCCAAAAAUGCAAGUGUCCCACUGACUGUGCUUUGAUGUACAGUCCCUGCAAUAUGGUUUAAGCUACUUCAUACACACCAGAAAGCUGUGCUACCAUUCAACAAGACCUGGACAGACUGGAGAGUUGGACAGGGAGGAUCCUGACAGGGUUUGACAAAAGCAAGUGUAGAGUCUUGCACAUGGGGAGGAAUAACCACAUGCAUCAGUACAGGUUAGGGGAUGACCUGUUGGAGAGGAGCUCUGCAGAGAAGGACCUGGGUGUCCUGGUGGACAACAGGUUGGCUGUGAGUGAGCAGCAUGUCUUCUGACCAAGAAUGCCAAUGGUAACCUGGGGUGCAUUGAAAAGAACGUGUCCAGUAGGUGAAGGGAGGUGAUCCUCCCCCUCUACUGUGCCUUGGUGAUGUCACGUUUAGAACACUGUGUCUGGUUCUGGGCUCCUCAGUUCAAAAAAGACAGAGAUUGCCUGGCAGGAGUCCAGGAGAGGGCACCAAAGAUGAUAAAGUGCCUGGAGCAUCUCCUGUAUGAGGUAAGGCUGACUAACAUGAGUCUGUUCAGCCUGAGGAAAAGAAGACUGAGAGCAAAUCUGAUAAAUGUUUCUAAGUAUCUAAAGGGAGAUGGGAGGCAAAGGGAUGAGGCCAGGCUCUUCUCAGUGAUUCAUAGCCAUAGGACAAGGAGUAAUGGCCUAAAACUUGAACAUAAUUCUGUACUAAAGUGAGGAAGAACUUCUUCACGGUAAGGGUGUCAGAGCACUGGCACAGGCUCCACAGGCUGUGGAGUCUAGUUCUGUGGAGAUAUUCAAGACCCAUCUGGAAAACUACAUGGACUUGCUGAUCUCUAGAGGUCCCUUCUCAGCCCUGCAAUUCUGUGAUUCUGUGACUCUGCAAUCUGAGAUGAUCCAUAGCAUGCAAGGCCUUUAAGUACACUGAUCACUACUUCCAUUUUACCCUGCGGAGGCUUAAAGUGUAGAGUGGCCUCAGACAUUUCAUCCAUCCUGCGGAAUGUCUCUAAAAUAAACCUCAAAAAAAGAGCUGUGGUGCA